GGGUCAGUAGGUUGGUCGUGCCACCGGUACGUACUGGUCUCACUGAUUCCUCCUUCCUGAAGAACCGUAAUGCCAUUAAUUUGGUGUUGCGGGGAAACAGGACUGUUACUUUGCAAAAAUUAGAGUGUUUAAAGCAAGCUAACGCUUGAAUACAUUAGCAUGGAAUAACGAAAUAGGACGAUCGAUCCUAUUUUGUUGGUUUCUAGGAUUGACGUA
rnacentral:rRNA from 1 species